rnacentral:rRNA from 1 species
AGAGUUUGAUCCUGGCUCAGGAUGAAUGCUGGCGGCAUGCCUAAUACAUGCAAGUCGAGCGGUAGCAUGGCUUCACCGUUCUCUUGACACACUUGGCUAUUAUGCGAGUGGUAAGAUUCGAGGGAACUGUGAAGCUGAUGACGAGCGGCGGACGGCUGAGUAACGCGUGAGAACAUACCCCAAAGUGAGGGAUAACUAGUCGAAAGAUUAGCUAAUACCGCAUGUGAUCUUUGGAUUAAAGCAUUUAUGCGCUUUGGGAAUGGCUUGCGUACGAUUAGAUAGUUGGUGAGGUAAAGGCUCACCAAGUCGACGAUCGUUAGAUGGUUUGAGAGGAUGAUCAUCCAGACUGGGACUGAGACACGGCCCAGACUCCUACGGGAGGCAGCAGUAGGGAAUCUUUCACAAUGGGCGAAAGCCUGAUGGAGCAAUGCCGCGUGCAGGACGAAGGCCUUCGGGUUGUAAACUGCUUUUAUAAGCGAGAAAUAUGAUGGUAACUUAUGAAUAAGGAUCGGCUAACUACGUGCCAGCAGCCGCGGUCAUACGUAGGAUCCGAGCAUUAUCCGGAGUGACUGGGUGUAAAGAGUUGCGUAGGUGGCAAGGUAAGUAGAUAGUGAAAUCUGGUGGCUCAACCAUUCAGACUAUUAUCUAAACUAUCUAGCUCGAGACUGUUAUGGGUAACUGGAAUUUCUAGUGUAGGAGUGAAAUCCGUAGAUAUUAGAAGGAACACCGAUAGCGUAGGCAGGUUACUGGGACAGUUCUGACACUAAGGCACGAAAGCGUAGGGAGCAAACGGGAUUAGAUACCCCGGUAGUCUACGCCGUAAACGAUGGAUACUAGCAGUUUUGGGUAUCGACCCCCGGAGUUGCGAAGCUAACGCGUUAAGUAUCCCACCUGUGUAGUACGAUCGCAAGAUUAAAACAUAAAGGAAUUGACGGGGACCCGCACAAGCGGU